UUCACUUUAACCAUUGACGGAUAUUCUUGCUUUUGGUAUUCUACCCAGUAAAAAGGUAGUUGUAAUCCCUAUUUUGUUCCUCAGAGAGUUAAUCCUUGAUAUGUUCAUCUUAGCCGAUGACGUAUUUUCUUCUCCUUGUUGGUUUUCUACCUUGUAGCCGAUAGUUGUAAAUCCUACUUUUUCCGUGUGCAAAGUUUAUCCUUGAUAUGUUCACUUUAACCAGUGACAGAUUUUCUCUUCAUUGGUAUUCUAUCCAGUAACUGAUAGAUGUAAUCCCUAUUUUUG
rnacentral:lncRNA from 1 species